GGCGGGGCUAUAAUGCAAGUCGAGCGAACAGAUGAGAAGCUUGCUUCUCUGAUGUUAGCGGCGGACGGGUGAGUAACACGUGGGUAACCUACCUAUAAGACUGGGAUAACUCCGGGAAACCGGGGCUAAUACCGGAUAAUAUAUUGAACCGCAUGGUUCAAUGUUGAAAGACGGUUUCGGCUGUCACUUAUAGAUGGACCCGCGCCGUAUUAGCUAGUUGGUAAGGUAACGGCUUACCAAGGCAACGAUACGUAGCCGACCUGAGAGGGUGAUCGGCCACACUGGAACUGAGACACGGUCCAGACUCCUACGGGAGGCAGCAGUAGGGAAUCUUCCGCAAUGGGCGAAAGCCUGACGGAGCAACGCCGCGUGAGUGAUGAAGGUCUUAGGAUCGUAAAACUCUGUUGUUAGGGAAGAACAAAUUUGUUAGUAACUGAACAAGUCUUGACGGUACCUAACCAGAAAGCCACGGCUAACUACGUGCCAGCAGCCGCGGUAAUACGUAGGUGGCAAGCGUUAUCCGGAAUUAUUGGGCGUAAAGCGCGCGUAGGCGGUUUCUUAAGUCUGAUGUGAAAGCCCACGGCUCAACCGUGGAGGGUCAUUGGAAACUGGGGAACUUGAGUGCAGAAGAGGAGAGUGGAAUUCCAUGUGUAGCGGUGAAAUGCGCAGAGAUAUGGAGGAACACCAGUGGCGAAGGCGGCUCUCUGGUCUGUAACUGACGCUGAUGUGCGAAAGCGUGGGGAUCAAACAGGAUUAGAUACCCUGGUAGUCCACGCCGUAAACGAUGAGUGCUAAGUGUUAGGGGGUUUCCGCCCCUUAGUGCUGCAGCUAACGCAUUAAGCACUCCGCCUGGGGAGUACGACCGCAAGGUUGAAACUCAAAGGAAUUGACGGGGACCCGCACAAGCGGUGGAGCAUGUGGUUUAAUUC
rnacentral:rRNA from 2 species